AUUAUCUCUCAAAGGUCCCACCUCCAAAGACCAUCACAUUGGAAAUUAGGUAUUCUACAUAUGAAUUUUCGGGGGACAAAAAUAUUCAAUCCAUAGCCCUCUGGCUCAUCCCAGCUGAUUUAGGGCUGACUUGUUAAUAAGCAAGCAGUUAGGAAGACAUACUAAGCUCAAACGCAAAAGUUUGUAGCUUUUGUUCUCAAAGAUGGUUGCUACACUUCUAAGCACUGAGUCUCUCUUCCAAUCAAGAAGAAGGAAGAAAGAAUUAAAGGUUAAAGAGGUAUGUCGGCUGAGCCUGUGCUCUUUAAAAGCUUUCCCAGAAACGCCAGUCACCCAGUUCUGGUUAAUUUUGAAUGAUUGGAAGUGAGUUACAUGGCCAUCUCCUCAUGCAGGAGAUUCUGGAAGCAACCAGCCCACCAUCCUUAGGUGCUUUCCAAAAGUCAUCUCAUCAGCUUGACAGAAGACACCUUUAUCACUGUCAACACUUCCGAAAUUCCAAGGGUUUUGGGAGCAAUGAGCCAGGAACAUGGAGGAAAACCAAAGCCAAUGAAAAUAAGUUGAUUCCUCAUAAUUUUCCUCUGGCCUUGAUCCUCAGGAAUCCCAGAGGGGCAUUGGAAUUUGAGCGAGCAAGAAAUGCACUUUCUGUUAAGCCACUGAGAUUUGAGAGAAUGUUCAUUUUAGAAGAUAGCACUACUCACUUUAAUGUAUACAAGUUGUUAGCACCUCAGUGUGGAUACUGUUCUUAACUGGUAUUUGCAUAUCCUCCAAUCUGUGAGUCCUUGAAGAGCCUCCAGAUCCUGUUGAAGGUUGCUAAUGGACCUUGAAUCCCAUGCAGUCCUGGACGGGACACGUGUUCAGCUACCUAACAACUUCCAUUUUUAGUCCCUGAAACUCACAGGGCAUUAGAAAGCACCUUAAGCAAAGGGAACCAGUUUGUCACAUCUGUAGGGGUCUGGGUAGCAGUGGAGAAGAUCUUCCUUCAAUUAAGAAAACAAGACAGAAAUUAAGACACCCAAUAAUCAUUUUGUUUCAUAAGUAUUAUGAAGUCCACAGAUGUAUACCAG
rnacentral:lncRNA from 1 species